GACGAACGCUGGCGGCGUGCUUAACACAUGCAAGUCGAACGAAGUGGCGAACGGGUGAGUAACGCGUAAUCAACCUGCCCUUCAGAGGGGGACAACAGUGGGAAACGACUGCGCAUACCGCAUACUGAAGGAGGGGAAUGCGUCUGAUUAGCUAGUUGGAGGGGUAACGGCCCACCAAGGCGAUGGUCGGUAGCCGGUCUGGGAGGAUGAACGGCCACAUUGGGACUGAGACACGGCCCAGACUCCUACGGGAGGCAGCAGUGGGGAAUCUUCCGCAAUGGACGAAAGUCUGACGGAGCAACGCCGCGUGAGUGAUGACGGCCUUCGGGUUGUAAAGCUCUGUUAAUCGGGACGCGGUACCGGAAUAGAAAGCCACGGCUAACUACGUGCCAGCAGCCGCGGUAAUAC
rnacentral:rRNA from 1 species